CAGUUUGGCUUCAGGCCAGAACAUGUGUGUAUGUAAGGCAAGGUUACGGAGUCCAAGUAGUUCACAGUUUAGCUUCAGGCCAGAACACGUGUGUAUGUAAGGCAAGGUAACGGAGUCCAAGUAGUUCACAGUUUAGCUUCAGGCCAGAACACAUGUGCAUGUAAGGCAAGGUAACGGAGUCCAAGUAGUUCACAGUUUAGCUUCAGGCGAGAACACGUGUGUAUGUAAGGCAAGGUAACGGAGUCCAAGUAGUUCACAGUUUAGCUUCAGGCCAGAACACGUGUGUAUGUAAGGCAAGGUAACGGAGUCCAAGUAGUUCACAGUUUAGCUUCAGGCCAGAACACGUGUGUAUGUAAGGCAAGGUAACGGAGUCCAAGUAGUUCACAGUUUAGCUUCAGGCCAGAACACGUGUGUAUGUAAGGCAAGGUAACGGAGUUCAAGUAGUUCACAGUUUAGCUUCAGGCCAGAACACGUGUGUAUGUAAGGCAAGGUAACGGAGUUCAAGUAGUUCACAGUUUAGCUUCAGGCCAGAACACGUGUGUAUGUAAGGCAAGGUAACGGAGUCCAAGUAGUUCACAGUUUAGCUUCAGGCCAGAACACGUGUGUAUGUAAGGCAAGGUAACGGAGUUCAAGUAGUUCACAGUUUAGCUUCAGACCAGAACACGUGUGUAUGUAAGGCAAGGUAACGGAGUUCAAGUAGUUCACAGUUUAGCUUCAGGCCAGAACAUGUGUGUAUGUAAGGCAAGGUAACGGAGUCCAAGUAGUUCACAGUUUAGCUUCAGGCCAGAACACGUGUGUAUGUAAGGCAAGGAAACGGAGUUCAAGUAGUUCACAGUUUAGCUUCAGGACAGAACACGUGUGUAUGUAAGGCAAGGUAACGGAGUUCAAGUAGUUCACAGUUUAGCUUCAUGCCAGUCUGUGCUGAUGCCCAGACCAGCUAAUUCAUGAAUGUAAUCAGUUCGUUCAUGCUUUUUUACGUUCAUGCCAAUGGUCUCUUGCAAAUGGAAGUUGCAAUUUUUUUCUUAAACGUGUUUUCUGUUGAUUUGAAAUCAGUGAUGAAGUAUUGCCGGGACAUUUCACAUUAGAAUUCUAUAUAGUAUUUAUAACUUAUAUAAUGUUUUUGAAUAAAGAAAAAUACAUGUGUCUUAACAGUGUAUUUAUACCAGUGUAUUGUUGAACCAAAUAGAAAACAUUACUUACCUGUGGAAACGGACACGUAUAUGGCAUUUAAUACUCACACGAUAUAAACUUUCCGUUCAUAAUUUUACCUUUGCGAUACGGCUUCAUUGCUCAAUGUUAUUUUUGGAGACAACACAAUUAACACAAAAAAAUCAUGAUGUUCUUGCACUUUAUUUUCUGUUUACUAUAGAACUUGCACAUGAUGACAAGCGCGGACUAUCUUAAUCAGAGAGAUCAGCUGUAUGUACUUCAAAAUCAUAUGAGUCGCACUCUGAGAAAACUGGGCAUAAUGCUUGUGCUUAAAGUGUCAUCCCAGAUAAGCCUGUGCAGUCCGCAUAGGCUAAUCAGGGACGAAACUUUCCGCCUUAACUGGAUUUUUGUGUAGAAGAGACUUCCUUUAAGCGAAAAAUACCAUUAAAGCGGAAAGUGUCAUCCCUGAUUAGCCUGUGCAGACUGCACAGGCUAAUCUGGGACGCCACUUUAUGCACAUGCAUUAAACCCAGUUUUCUCAGAACGCGACUCAUAUAAACUGCAGAUAUUAACUUCAAGUUAUUUGUAAUGUGUUCAUAUCGCGAGUCUUUGUUUUUAUGCUCCCCAUGUACAUGUAUAUAUAUAUAUGGGGAGCAUAUAGUUGCCAGUUUGGGGUUCCUAACUUCCGUCACACUUUUGUUACACCUUGCAUGGACCUCUACCUUUUGAUGCGGUUUGAGGUCACUGGGCUCAAGGUCACCGAGGCUAAUUAUAGAUUUUCCGUCACACUUUUGUUACAGUUUCUCAUAGCGCCUUCAAUAUUUUACCUAUCUCUUACAUAUUUGGCAUGUAGGUACCUUGCAUGGACCUCUACCUUUUGAUGAGGUUUGAAGUCACUGGGGUCAAGGUCACCGAGGCUAAUAAUAUAUUUUCCAUCACACUUUUGUUACAGUUUCUCAUAGCGCCUUCAAUAUUUUACCGAUCUCUUUCAUAUUUGGCAUGUAGGUACCUUCUAUGGACCUCUACCUUUUGAUUAGGUUUGACGUUGGGGUCAAGGUCACCGAGGCUAAUAAUUGAUUUUCUGUCACACUUUUGUUACAGUUUCUCGUAGUGCCUUCAAUAUUUUACUGAUCUCUUCCAUAUUUGGCAUGAAGGUACCUUGCAUGGACCUCUACCUUUUGAUGAGGUUUGACGUCACUGGGGUCAAGGCCUAGGUUACCGAGGCUAAUAAUAGAUUUUCUGUCACACUUUUGUUACAGUUUCUCAUAGCGCCUUCAAUAUUUUACCGAUCUCUUACAUAUUUGGCAUGUAGGUACCAUGCAUGGACCUCUACCUUUUGAUGAGGUUUGACAUCACUGGGGUCAAGGUCACUGAGGCUAAUAAUAUAUUUUCCGUCAUUCUUUUGUUACAGUUUCUCAUAGCGCCUUCAAUGUUUUACCGAUCAAUUCCAUAUUUGGCAUGUACGUACCUUUCAUGGACCACUACCUUUUGAUGAGGUUUAACAUUACUGGGGUCAAGGUCAAGGUCACCGAGGCUAAUAAUAGAUUUUCCGUCACACUUUUGAUACAGUUUUACAUAAUGCCUUCAAUAUUUUACCUAUCUCUUACAUAUAUGGCAUGUAGGUACCUUGCAUGGACCUCUACAUUUUGAUAAGGUUUGACGUUACUGGGGUCAAGGUCACUGAGGCUAAUAAUAGAUUUUCCAGCACACUUUUGUUACAGUUUCUCAAAGCGCCUUCAAUAUUUUACCGAUCUCUUACAUAUUAGGCAUGUACGUACCUUGCAUGGACCUCAACCUUUUGAUGAGGUUUGACGUCACUGGGGUCAAAGUCACUGAGGCUAAUAAUAGAUUUUCCGUCACACUUUUGUUACAGUUUCUCAUAGCGCCUUCAAUAUUUUACCGAUCUCUUCCAUAUUUGUCCUGUAGGUACCUUGCAUGGACCUCUACCUUUUGAUGAGGUUUGAGGUCACUGGGCUCAAGGUCACUGAGGCUAAUAAUAGAUUUUCUCAAAGUCACAUUUUGGUUACAGUUUCUCAUAGCGCCUUCAAUAUUUGACAGAUCAUUUAUAUAUUUGGGAUGAAGGUACCUUACAUGAACCUCUACCUUUUGAUGAGGUUUGAGGUCACUGGGGUCAAGGUCACCGAGUCUCAUAAUAGAUUUUCUUAAGGUCACACUAUUUUUCCACACAGUUUAACCAUAUAUCGACAAAGCAUCAUUGGGGAGCAUCCAUCAGUUUUACUGAUAUCCUUGUUUUAUGUACAUGUAUAUGUAUAAUAUAUUAUAUUAGCCUGUCUAUGGGAAAGCAUUUCUUAAUGCAUGUGCUUUAUGUAUGGUCCCAGAUAAGCCAGUGCAGUUCGCACAGUUUUUUCAAGGACGAUGCGUUUUCGCAUAGACUUGAUUCUCGUUUAGAAGAUACUUUUUUCAAUAAAAACCAUACUUUAAAGUGGAAAGUAUCGUCCCUGAUAAGCCUGUGCUCAUAAAUUCAUGCUUUAUUUUGUAUGCCUCAUUCACGUUCGUAUAAUACUUCGUUUUUUUGGUACUUUAUAUUGUAGAUUACGGGCAGUUGUCACCUGGUUAGAAGGAAAGGUAAUCAUAGAUUAUCGUCAACGUUAUGCACGUGGAAGCAAAGGCAGAAUAGCAUUCAUCGAAACGCUGUAUUCUGUCUUAAUAUAUAUUUAAUAAAAUUUGAUUGAGG